UACGUAGGGGGCAAGCGUUGUCCGGAAUCAUUGGGCGUAAAGCGCGUGUAGGCGGCUGGGUAAGUCCGCUCUGAAAGCCCGGGGCUCAACCCCGGGAGGCGGGUGGAUACUGCUCAGCUCGAGUCCGGAAGAGGAGUGUGGAAUUCCUGGUGUAGCGGUGAAAUGCGCAGAUAUCAGGAGGAACACCAAUGGCGAAGGCAGCACCUCGUGGGA
rnacentral:rRNA from 1 species